rnacentral:misc_RNA from 1 species
CAAUUGCUGCAGCCCGACUUGAGCGGUUAUCCUUUUUGCGAGAGGCUAUGCCGAGCAAAAAGAUAAUAGCGGAAGGCGGAAAAGCUG